rnacentral:tRNA from 1 species
CCGCUUGUAGCGCACUGGUCAGCGUGCUGUGUUGCAACUCGGGAGACCUGAGAUCGAAUCACAGCGCGUCCA